AAACAGAAAAUCAUGUCUAACUUCUACAAUUUCGCAUCAACAGAGAAGAGGGUAGACAUCUUGUUGGCACCAGGAGUUCCAGAAAGUGUCUGCCAAGUCCAUGUCAGUCUUGGCACAUUUUCAAUGAUGUGCUAUACAGUACAUCACAU
rnacentral:lncRNA from 1 species